rnacentral:misc_RNA from 1 species
CCCUCCAUCGCACCGGGUUUUCGCAGUCACGUUCCUCUGGGAGUGCGGGUGUAAAGGUACGUGUACAUCGAGCCGAGCAUUCGGAAACGGGAGAAGUACACGCGACGUGUCUGCCGGAGUCCGUUCCUCACUGAACUUGUAGCCAUCAUGAGUCGUAAUCAGAGCCGCAAGGGCGGCAGCAAGCGCAGCCGCGCAGACGAGUGGAUGACCGACGCACGCGACCCGGCAGCGUUGCAGAACACGGCUUUUGAAGCGUACUACAAGGGCAACGUCAUCCCUGCAUCGGAGUGGGAAGCGUUCAUGGCGUGCCUGCAGACGGGGCUGCCCAUGUCGAUCCGGUUCAACUGCGCAGUGCCACAGGUGGACGCCGUGGACGCGUUCGUCACGCAGCACCUCUCUGAAGUCUUCGAGAGCAAGCGAAUCCCGUUCUUCCCGGCGCAGCGAGCGAUUCAGUUUGGCGUCAGCCGCGGCGACUUGAAGCGCAAGAAGGCGAACCGGACGUUGAAGAGGAUUGUCUCCGCGAUGAACGAGGGCGGAUACCUGACUCGACAGGAGACCGUUAGCAUGCUGCCUCCUCUCCUGCUGCAGGUGGGGCCUGGGAUGCGGGUGCUGGACAUGUGCGCUGCGCCGGGAAGCAAGACAUCGCAGCUCCUCGAGCUCCUCCUGACCGGCGAGUCCGAGAGGGGAGUUGUGGUGGCGAACGACGCCAAAGCUUCUCGCUUGGACGUGCUGCACCAUCAAACGAACCGUGCCGCUGGCGCACAUCUCCACCUCAUCAUCACAAACACAGACGCCACGCGCUUUCCUUUGCUGCCACCCGCGGAGCGCUUCGAUCGCGUCUUGUGCGACGUGAUGUGCUCCGGUGAUGGAACGCUGCGCAAGUCCAUCGAUAUGUGGCCUCGCUGGGACUCUCUCCAGGGGGCCAACCUACACCACACCCAGAUGCGCGUGUUGCUGCGCGGCAUGGCGUCUUGCAAGUCGGGUGGAAUUGUGGUGUACUCAACCUGCAGCCUCAACCCCGUCGAGGACGAAGCAGUCGUGUCCGCCUGCCUGGCGCAGACGAAGGGCACCUUCGAGCUGAUAGACCCUACGCCGCUGCUACACGGGCUCUGCGCUUCGCCUGGCAUGACUUCAUGGACCGUCACCACACGCGACCUCACCACAGCGCUGCACAACUACGAGGACGCGAAGGCAUUCAUGGAGGCCCAGACGGAUCGCUGCACUUUUCAGUACGCACCGAGCAUGUUCGCGAACACCGAGCUGCUCGUGGAUCAGCACAUUGAGCGCACCCGCCGCAUCCUGCCCCACACGCAGGACACCGGCGGCUUCUUUGUGGCGGCGCUGCGUUGUGUCGCGGCAGUGCCGGAGGAUGCGCGUGCGAGGGCUGAGUCGGCCUCUGAUGCGAAGAGGACGGAGGCGCCCUUGAAACCCCUCUCUGCUGGUAUGCGGGCGACCCUGCAGAAGGCGCUCGCGCUGCCUGACACGUUCCCCUUUGACCACCUCAUCGUGCGCAACGAGGAGGCGCGUGACCAGAAGGUUUACCUGGCCAACUCGGACGCCAUUUCGCUCAGCCAGCAGCUGGGCUGUCGCGUCGUGCACGUCGGCUCGAAGGUGUUCGAGUCCGUGCUAAAGUACAGCAAUGAAAAGCUGCGCUUCUGCACAGACGGCGUGGCCGACCUCGUGCCCUUUCUGCCCUCCAAGUUCCUUGUCUCGGUGACGCCGUCCCUGCUGCUGGAGCUGGCUGCGGAGACGCCGAUGCCGUACGCCGAUUUUAGCGCCAAGACCGGACAGCUCAUCGAGGAGCUGCCACCGAGCUUUGUCCUCACCACCUCCUGGGCGGUCGGGGGGCCUAUCUACGUAGCUGCAGAGAAGUCGACGAUGCUGGGCAAGCUUGUUGCGCACGUAGCAGGCUGGCAAGUGACAGUGUGCAAGCUGGCUUUGGACCUACCACUGGUGGAGUCGGUGGAGGAGAGGCAGGAGGACGCUGCAGAGGAGGGCGACGCGACCAGAGAGAACGCCUCCGCGCUGGCAGCAGAUGCGGCGACGCACUAAAAAGACGGUUAAUGCAGCAGUGGCACAGCGCAUCUUCAACUGCCUCUCCUUUUCUCUCCGUUUCCUUUCUCCUGUGCUCGCAUACGGAUGUGCGCGGCUGCACACUUCUGUGCUGCUGGUCGCAGGGGGCAAAAGUGAGAGGAGAAGCGGAGGUGAAGUAAAGGCCGUGCUUUUCUGCACACGCAGAGCGGUUGCGUACAGUGGCGGAAGCGCAGAAGGGAGAGUAGUGGGCAUGUGCAGCGGCCACACGAAGACGGAAGAGGACGGUGACGGGCCUCGUGCAGAAUGCCGCCACCCCAAUGAGACGAAGCUCAGAAAAGACUUGCCUUGAAGCGCUCACGUAAUAGGUGGAAGGAGGGAUGGAGUGCGUGUACGCAAGUGUUCUAGGUGCACGUGGAGAGAUGGCAGCCAUGCGACGGCGUAGAGGGAGGAGGGAGGUGAAGAUUCCAACCGCAGAAGAUCCCUGAUGGUGCGACGAGGAUAUCCGAGAGGAGGAGGCGCCGAUGCGAACACAGACGAACAUCAAAGUCUUCUCGGUAGUUCAUGCAUCUGCCGUGAACCCUCGCCAAGGUUGUGGACUGCGAUGGACGAGUCUAGUGUGUUCCAGCCUGCGCUUUCCCGACCCUCACCCCUCUGCACCCAUCGCCCGAUCACGACAUGCUGUGCAGGUUGUCUUUUUUCUUCGUGCCCCCUCCGUGUUUGUCUCGCUGCGCACGAGAACACACUCACUCAACAGUUUCAGGGGUGCCUCCGCGCUAGGGUCUCGCCAUAGUCUGUCCCCCCCCCCUCCCUUGCCCUUCGCUCUCUUUUUCUGGCGGGUGUGUUUGUGUUUCCUGGGAGGAGGGUUGAAGCUACCAGAGUGCGCGUGUAGGCUUUGGCCACUUUCUCCUCCUCAUGGGCAGCGGUGAGGUGUACGGGUAAGAAUCCGGCAAGCGCGCGAAGGCGCUCGCUCGCUUCAACGACACGAUAAGCGAAAAGGAAAUUAGAAAGAGAAAAUGCACCAUUCCUAAGACUUAACACGUGCCACGGUCGCAUAUGGAGAACAAGCGUACGGACUCGGGCGAAGACCGCAUUGAGCGAACAAGGGCAACGGAAGUGGCGCGUGCAUGGGUGGUGAAGGGUGACCGGUCAUACUGGGGCGCGCAUGUUCGGUGUCCUAUCCUCUCCGCUCUCGGAGCAUGGGUGCAUAGGUGACAGGAGACGGGCAAGACACCGGCGUGCACUGCAGGCGUACCGCAACACUCCCUGCGCAUCCACUUUGUUGUCGAGAGAGAAAACAAGGCGAAUGCCGCUGCUGCCCUUACGUUCGCGCACGCACACGCGGGGAUGAGGUUUUCGUGCGUGUGCUUGGGCGGGGGAGGAGGGAGGCCUGCUGCCCUCUCUCUUUUUUUCGUCACC